AGUAAUAAAUAUUUAAUUGUGAUUUGAACUUUAAAAAAGAAAAGAAUUAAAUAUAAUUAAAUAUGAAGUUACUUAUUUUAUUAUUAUCACUUACUUUUGUGUUUGAAGUUCUUCAAGUUAAUUCAGAAAGUGAAAUUAAUGGAAAGGAAGAACUCGUCAAUUCUAUUCGAGGAAAUGGGUAGAGUGGGAACUUCAGUACAAUUGAUAGAGGUCAGGACGGAAUUACCAAUGGUUAAAAUCAACAGAAGAAUUGAAAACGUCCUGGGGAGUAUGCAUGCUACAAUUAAGUAUAUGAACAUUGUGCGUAUUCCCAAGUCAUUGCUCUACAACAAAGAAUAGAAUAUAUCCGCACACACAUGAAUGAAGUAAUGAUGUUAUGUGGGUAUAAGAAUGACGGAAAAACGAAAAGGCAAGUGAUAGUGGGCCUCAGUAUUGGGAGGCUGGAUGCUUAAGGGGUUGUUCACAAAGUUCUUCUCAAGUGAUGAUCACUCAAGGUAUGAAUCAGAGAUAUUGGAUACCUUGGCACAGCAAGAAGAAGAACUAAUGGCAAUCCGUGGAGCAAUAAGAAACUUAGCCACAAAGUAUGAUAUCCUUAAGAAUGUCACAAUGAUGCUUCACAAUUAGCUACAAGAAGUAGAAAGGGUUGAAACAAUGAUAAUGGUGUUGACAACAAUCUCAGAACAGAUCAACAAAUGGAUCAGGGAAUACAGGCUGGUAUGACCGGGAGAUUAACACCAGACUUGUUAUCAAUCAAUGAUGUGGGGAAGAUCUUGGAUAUGGUAAAAGAGAGGAAUCAUGAUGGAUCAAUCAGUCCAGUUGAAAGUGAGAGAAUUGGGAAUUUUUACUCCCUGCCUGUGCAACUGGAAAGAACGGCAAACGGAUUAGAUGUGGCGGUUCGAUUACCCUUAUAUUACAAAAAUAAUCUAUACGAGUUAUAUAAGUAUAGGGAACUCCCGAUGACAAUAGAAGAAGGAGUUCGGAUGUCAUAUCGAUCAACAAUAGGAAAAUAUUUAGUGAUUGAUGACAUAAAGGGUUGUUCAGAAUUGGACAAAAUGGUUGUUUGCCUGCAUUGAUUCAUGGUAACUUUAAAUUGGCUAAGGGAUUAUGUGACAUAAUGUUACAUAAAUCGGAUGACGUGUUUGUGUCGCAAAUCAACGAUGGAAAAAUAUUCGUGGAUGUGCAGAAGACACAAAGGAUCAAAGCGUCAUGUACAAGUGGUUCUGGUAGGACAACAAAACGUCGAGAAGCACUUGGGUCCGGACAAUGGAUGAUCACAUUGCGGAAUGAUUGCAAUGUGAGGAUUGGUGAUUACUUGAUUGGAGAAAGACCAGUGACAAGUAAGAUCAAGGUGAGGGUCGUGGAAAUGAUGAUUCUGGAUGAGGUGGAAGAUGUUAUUGCGGAUUUAAACCUCCAUGAAAGCUGGGUUUAUGGUAAUGGACAAUCAAGCCUCAAGGACAAGCUAGAAUUAUUGACGGAACCUCAGAAAGCAAUAUCUAUAGACAAGUUGAGGAUAAUGGCAAGAACUGCCAGGGUUGAAAAGAAUCGUUUUUGGAUAUACGGUAUAGUGGUUAUUGAAACUUUAUUAAUCAUUAUAUUUUCAGGAUUCUUUGUGACGUUGCUCUGUAAGGUACGAGCUAGAAGAGCUGUACAGGAGUGAGUUAAAUCCUGAAGGGCCGUAUAUCGGGAAAGAAAGACGAGGUCGUCUUUUCCUCAAGGAGGGAGCAUCUGUAGUAUCACCAACUGGAUGUAUUAUGUAUGAUGAUGUGAACGAUAGUUGUUAUUGUAUAUAUAUAU
rnacentral:lncRNA from 1 species